rnacentral:rRNA from 1 species
UGAACGCUAGCGGCAGGCUUAACACAUGCAAGUCGAGGGGUAACAUUGGUGCUUGCACCAGAUGACGACCGGCGCACGGGUGAGUAACGCGUAUACAAUUUACCUUAUACAGGGGGAUAGCCUUUAGAAAUGAAGAUUAAUACCCCAUGGUUUAUAGAGAUCGCAUGGUUUUUAUAAUAAAGAUUUAUUGGUAUAAGAUGAGUAUGCGUCCUAUUAGUUAGUUGGUAAGGUAAUGGCUUACCAAGGCUUCGAUAGGUAGGGGCCCUGAGAGGGGGACCCCCCACACUGGUACUGAGACACGGACCAGACUCCUACGGGAGGCAGCAGUGAGGAAUAUUGGACAAUGGGCGAGAGCCUGAUCCAGCCAUGCCGCGUGCAGGAAGACUGCCCUAUGGGUUGUAAACUGCUUUUAUAUAGGAAGAAACCUGACCACGUGUGGUUGGCUGACGGUACUAUAUGAAUAAGCACCGGCUAACUCC